GGAGACUCUUCUUCUCCAAGGGAAUUUCAAAUGCAGAAACUGAGGCACGGCAGGGUUAUUACUUGCCUAAAGUCACAGCACUUUAAAAUAGUAGAGCUGGGAUUUAAACCAAGGCAGUCUGGCUCUAGAGCCUGCCUGCUUAACUACUAUGAUGGACACAAUAAAAGAAACCAACUGAAUGAAACAAAUCAAGCAAUGACCAGAUGAUGCCAGCUCCUUACAGAAAGACCACCAACCG
rnacentral:lncRNA from 10 species